rnacentral:rRNA from 1 species
CUACGGGUGGCUCCAGUAAGGAAUAUUGCGCAAUGGAGGCAACUCUGACGCAGCCAUGCCGCGUGCAGGACUGAAGGCCUUAUGGGUCGUAAACUGCUUUUAUUUAGGAAUAAACUUUCGUACGUGUACGAGACUGAAGGUACUAAAUGAAUAAGCACCGGCUAACUCCGUGCCAGCAGCCGCGGUAAUACGGAGGGCGCAAGCGUUAUCCGGAUUUAUUGGGUUUAAAGGGUGCGCAGGCGGACUAUUAAGUCAGAGGUGAAAUCCCGGAGCUCAACUUCGGAACUGCCUUUGAUACUGGUAGUCUUGAAUACGGUUGAAGUAGGCGGAAUGUAGCAUGUAGCGGUGAAAUGCAUAGAGAUGCUACAGAACACCGAUCGCGAAGGCAGCUUACUAAGCCGAUAUUGACGCUCAGGCACGAAAGCGUGGGGAGCGAACAGGAUUAGAUACCCUAGUAGUC